AGGCUGCUCGCCUGAGAGCGUCCCUUAAUAACCGCCUUCCCUCGAGUCGUCUCCCCAGAAAUAGCUAUUCGUUCAACGCGCUCCUGCUCCUCCGAGGAGCUGGAUCUUGGACGGCGGGUAGCGAUGGCUCUUCAAUGAAUGCCAUCGCUUGCCGGCUCUUCCGACAGGCUCCCCGUGGGCGCUGCUCCGCCCCUGCAGGUAUAUCCGCCGAACAGCCCGUUGAGGUAGGUUAGAGGUGCGAGAGGGGGCGGCGAUGCCAGGCCCCUCAAGCAACGACCCUUGAAGCGGGGCUGCUGAAUGAGGCGCCCUGAGCGGCUGGAUCCGUGCACGCCAAACUCAAGCCCGGCAACCGCGUUAGGGUUGCGCAGCUUGUCUUGCCAAGUGAAAGCGGCCGAAACGGACUUCGGAACCGUGUAACGUGGCGGAGCUUCGUUUUUCCCUGCCCUGGCCGCGUAUUAGCAGUGCACUUUUUCGUGGGACGCAGCGGAGGAAAUCCCAAAUAGCAGAUGGCAACCCACAGAAGCAACCUCUUCGAAAAGAGAUGAGGGGAUGACUCCCUUGUCAAGGCGGUGGGGGAGUCGUUUUGCCCUGAAAUGUUGUCCAGCAUCUUUGUCAGGAUUUAAUGCUGGCCACAUGACCAUGGAAAUAUCUUUGGACAGAACUGGCUUAAAGAAAUGGAGGCUGGGCAAUUGGCCACCUGUUCUUCUGCUUCCUCCCUCCAACAC